UUAAACUACCCUCAGAUUAAGAUAUUUAUUUUAAAAACUCCUUGUUUUCGCAAGAAAGCGGUUUCUACCCCACGUUAUAGUUCUCUUAAAUCUGGUACCGGUACAUUAAAGCUCAUAAAGCCGUUUUCCCGGUGAAAGUUCGGCGGUGGGAGGAGUCAAAUUGUCGGGACAUAAAACCCAAACGAACUGGUCUCUUCUUCCACUUCCUCCUGACCUCUGCUGCUGCAACGGGAAGAGAUGAGAAGAGACAAAGCGUGCUUUGCUGCUAAAGGUGUGGAGUUUGAGGCUUCUUGCAGAAGAAGAUGAACCCGAGACCGUUCAUAAGGAUGAAAGUCUCAAAUCCAGCAGUAUGUCAACCUUGCUGGAGAGAUCCUAAAAACUACUGGAGGAAGCCUGAUGUGAAACCUCAGCUGUAAGAAACGCUUCACGAUUGGGGAAGCUUCUGGGACCAAUUUCUGGCACUGCAAACUCCGAAAGAGGUCUUGAUGUCUGAGCUGUGUUGGCGACAUGACUGAGGGCCUCCUGUUUUGAAGGUGAGAUCUGGAGACCGGAGCGUUGAAACCAUUAAGCCCAGAUCUGCUGGAAAUGAUGAGAGAAUCUGGAAUCUCGUUCGUCUGAACUGCUGUUGAGAAAUAAAACUUCUGACACCUGUGGGACUUUGGGCGUGAUGCCGCUGGUGUUGUGGUGUCACAACAGGAAGAAGCCAUUGGAUUUCCAAUGUGGAUCGGGGUGGCACCGACCGGGUUCUGAUGAGGUCUUCAGAUGCUGGAGACGAGUCUGUGGGGUGUGCCUUACCUGUACUGUCGCAGAUGCUCCUGCUCUGAUCAGUCUGGAAGAUGUUGGUGCUCACACAUCAAAUUCAUGAUGGACACACUUUGCUGUUUUUAGGUGGAAAUCAUCAGUUGAUCCAUAUUGGUUUUCUGUCCAAAGACGAUGAAGCUGUUCAACCAGACGGUGUAUAAGGACUGAUUGCAGCUUAAAGUUGAUCUUCCGUUUUGAUCCUCGGUUUGCUGAACCAUGGGUGUCGCACGGAUUUCCUGCUGAGAUUCAUCCGUAAAUUCAGUGUCUUGUAUAAGGAUCACUGGAUCAUGCACUUCCUUGUCUGUCCAUGAAAACUGAAAUAAAGAAUAGCAAUGCUCACUGUCCUUUUUGUAAUAAAAACAGAAUGUCAGUACAUGUUUUAUACUGUUCUCUCAAUAAAUGCAUUUAUGAAUAUUUAA